GGAACGCACUGCCCGCACGCACUGCCCGCACGCUCUCCCCGCACGGCGGCCGCUGCGAGUGACGCCUGUGGGCCGCCCUCCCCGGCCAGGGCCAGAGCGGUUGUGAGGGGAGCCCACGGGACCCCACACGGCCCCACGGGCGGGCGGCCUCCCCCCACACCCCGAGUCCUCGGCGCGCGUCACCUCGUCGGCGCUCCUUCCCCGUUCCUGUAACUGCCGGGUGUCGAUGAGGAAGCCGAGGCCCUGCAAGGUUAAAUCACCUCCUUAAGUGAGCCGUGCCGGGCACGGUGAGCCGGGGCAGAGCGAACACCCGAUCGGCGAAGCCGGGUUUCUGACCGACGGACCGUGCCUGGCCCCCCAGCGCUGCUCCCAGCCCCCGUGGGGCAGCUGCCCCAGCUUCGCGUCUCCCACGGGGGAAGGAGAGGCCUUCCCGGGCCGUUUCCAGAGCGAGUCCACCGCAGCCCCCACGGUGGGACCUCCCAGCUCCCUCCAGCUUCGCCCCGGUGUCUGAGACGCCCGCGGACGUCAAGCCGGCACACUCAGCCGUGAGCUCCGCCCCAAACCGAGUGCCCGCGCCCGGCUCUCGCAACGCUUCCUCUGUCCUGCUGGCUCUCACCCGCUGGCGACAUUCUCCAUUGCAGGACAUUGAGUUAGGGCCCCAAAUGGACCAAGACAGGAGGCUGCCCGCCUUCUGCUGGGGUCAGCCAGGUCGCGGGUGAAGCAGAAACCUGGGCGGACGGGCCUCGGGGUCGGGCAGAGGGCCUGUCCUGGGCGCCUAUGGUGGCGGGCCGGCCUGGAGGCCUGCCCCGCGGGGACGCACGCAGGACUCCAGUGAGACGGGUCACGUUCCUCCAGCGGUCUCCUUCCCCGCUCCCCCCCCGACGGAGCCAUUAUGAGAUGUCCCCAAGUCAUCAGGGACAGGUGCUGUCACGACCCCUGUGUGUGUGUAGGGGGUGGGGGACGCGUCCCUGGCUCAGGCGGUUUCUGACAGUCGCACCAGAGUACCUGGAUAUCUGGGAACCCCCAGGCCACGCCUCCGGCACCGUGGAGCCCAAUGACCUUAAAUCAGUAGUUGGUCGCUACCUUCUCUUUGUUCCCAGGCUAUUGAUGAGUAUCUAACCUCCCUUUCUCCUUACCAAGAGGCAAAUUUUUUAAUUGGAUUGCUAGAGUCCUUUGUGGCAAGACCGACUGGUCCCUGCACGUGGUCCCUCCACGGUAGUCCCCCCACGUGGUCUGGGGAGCUGAAUUUCUUACCUGGCAAUUCAGGGUAAGAAAGCUGCCAGACUAGUGUCCCUCCUGCCGCGGAGGCGUCCAGGACUCAGGGUCCAGACCACCUUGGCCACUCACCACUUCCCCUCCCCCAGACCUCCAGGGUUUCUGAACUUGCCCAGGACGUGGCUGCGGCAGGAACAGCGUUACCGCGUGGGCUGGACUCCCUGGGGUGGACACCCAGACGCUCACGGCCACCUGGACGGGCCUUUAGGGCUCACGUGCCCUUUAAACAGGCACAAAGGAGAAACCGAAGCAGCCCAGCCACGUGAGCGCAAGUGGAUCUAAGCGACUGCUCGCCGUGCUCAGCUCCCGUGGGUCGCGCGUGGCUCUAGCUUGGGGGUCCCAGCCGGGCCCUUCUUCAGGAAGACAAGCAGGACGACCCCGGGAGCAGAGCCAGGCGGUUAGGAGGUUGCUAACCACCUCAUUCACCUGAAGCGGGCCAGUUGUGGCCCCGGCGGUCAGGGCAGCUGCCUGGCUCAGUGAGGUGACGACGUGACAGGCUCAGCACAGCGUGCGCGUCUGCCAUUAACACUGCCGCAGGUGCCCAGGCUCCCUGGGCCCGGGCCACUGGGCUUGCUUUGGCUGAUGGACAGUGAGGAGUGCUAUAUGUACCAUCCCCGAGCCGGCGUUGAAGAGCCUGGUGUCCCCGUGGCUCUGCUCUCUUCGCCGUGAGCCCUGCGUGUCCCAUGAUUGGUUCCAUUCUCAAGCCAGGUGACAGCCGACAGGCCCCCAAACCCGCGUUGCGCCCGCUCGCUUCCCAAUGGGCCUCUCUCCCGUCAGCCCCACCUACAGUCUCAGGCCUGACUUUGAUUGGUACAGCCCGGAUGAUGGGCUCGUCCUGCACCAAUCACUGUGCGGAGCUGCUGCCAGUCCUGAAGCAGGAACCAAUCAAAGCUGGACCGGGGGCUAGUCCACUCCUGUGCACACCUAGCCCGGAAGGCACACGUGGUUCUACCUGGAGACACGGGGGGCGUGGUCAGCCUGAGAAAAUCGAGUGCGGAGGGAAUCAGAUGUCCGUUCACUGCGACUGCGUGGGUAUCUACACCCAGCGCGGUCACGAUGCGACCCCUUAGAGACGCGUGGGAACCACAUGAAGAGCAGCUUCUUCCCGGGAGAUGCCAGGGAGACUGUCAUCGUCAGUAAGGGACAGCACAGACACGAUGCGGUGUGGUGAGAGCAUCCAAGAGUGCAAGCGAACUGAGCGUGUGGUCCCCGCAGGGCUUGGGCUGUGGGGGGUCACCUCUCCCAGUUUGGACUGGGGAGUGGGACACCCUCAAGAGGACUCAGACCCGCCCGUCCCUCAGACGGAGCCCCGGGAAUCGGAUAAUCCAGCUCUUGAGCCCCUCGAUGCCAGGCCAGGGCCAUGCUUCCACCCAACACCGCCAGAGUCAUCAUCAUCCCUGAGGGAUCUAGAAGUAAGGUAUUUGAACAUUUCUGAGAAACAGCCCUGUGCCCCAUUCCCGGGCCCUAGGAGCGGAGAGUCAGACCCCCGUCACUUGUCACAUGGGCCUCCCUACGGGACAGCUCUCACUGUGGCAGCUGCUGGCUUCAUCAGGGCAGCAGGACGAGACAGGGUGAAUGGGCGAAGCCAGGGUCCUUCCACAGUCCGAGAAGGGACACACCACGACUUCCGCCGUUUCCACUCAUCGGAAAUGGGCCACAGGCUCCGCCCACCCUCUAGGGCUGGGGCCAUGGACGCGUGCCCUCCAGCAGGUGGCAUCUGGAGGUGCUGGCGCAGGGGCGGAGCGGCGCAGGGGCGGAGCAGAGCGAAGAGAGCCUGCUGGGCCUGAGCAGGAGAAAGACGGCGAGGUGGCCGCACAUGGAGACCUUAGACGCUGCUGGGAACAGGAUCUCUGGGCUGCGAGGCUGAGAGGCGUCUUGUUUCUUAGCCUGAAGACGGAACCGGCCAGCCGCACACUGGACGGGGUGCCUCCCGCGCCCCGGGACCCUCCUCCCAGCAGACAGGGAGGGGAGAACCGGCGGGAAACCCCAGGACCCAGAGUCCCGAGAGCAGACGCCCACCCACGCCGCAGCGCCAGCCGCCCCACCCGCAACCGCGAGGGUCACACGUCCCGUUCCUAAACGAGUUAGUCUCGGCGUGGAAGAGGAGCUGCAGACGCCUUGGAGGCUCGCGCUCCCACUUAAUCCGCUCUGAGGCCAAGGCAGCAGGCGGAGUCAGUUUUUAAGGUUGCCGCCCACAUCCAGGCUCCAGCGGUUGCCCUGGGCAACGGUGCAGGCCGAGCCAGGCCUGAGAGGGGGUGACUCCCCGUUCACGUUCAUCCCUCCGCCUGGGGCUGGGUUGUCAGUGUGCGGAUGUGAGGAAGGACUUGCGUGCGGAAAAGCAGAUGAGGACAGCGGGGGUCUGCCAGCCUGCUCCCUCCUGCACCUCUGUUCCAACAUCCCCCCAGCUGACGGUCUCUGACAAGGACCCAGGCGGGGUGGGGAGACACACAGCACCUGCCCGGGAAGAUUAGAUUCCCAGGGAAACUGGUCCAAGACGCUGCCUGUCCUCCUAAGAAGAAGUCUGAGCCCUCCAACAGAGCUCCUCUCUGCGGGCCGUCCCCCGCUCCCUCCGGACCCCUGACCACGAGCGUCUGCCCUCUGCCUCAGGGCCUUCGCGCUUGCCAACCCCUUCCUGCCUCCCCCCUUCACAGGCCUGGGUCCGCAACACCAGGUCUCAGCUCUGUCGCCUCCUCGGCGGCCUUCCUGGACCCGUCCAUGGUGGCACCCCAGUCACUGUCCUGCACCUCACUUUCGCAUCCUGAAACUGACUUGUAACGAGUCUCCCAGAGCCCAAGUCUGUCCCCAGAAUGGAAGUCACAGAAGGUUGCUGGCCUAGCAUGUCAUGUCUUCCCUGUACCCUGGGGAGGGAGGGAAUGGAUGGGUGGGUGAGAGAGCAUGUGGGGUCAGGACAGCUUGAGAGAGGCAGGGAAGUGGAUGUGGCCCCAGCACUGGGUCAGGCUGUGGGGACAGUAGUGGAGUGGCUGAGCAGAAAAUGCAUCUGGCCAAACAGAGCAGGGGCCUUAGGACACCUGUCCAGACACGAGCCCAGCUGCCCACCUCAGCUCAGCCUGCGGAUGCCCUGCCCCAGCCCUGCCCUCUGUCCUGCAGGCAAGCUGGCCAGUGCCCCUGCACCUGGAUGGCGGCAGGGAGGCCUCCCGGGGCUGUGGCAGCCUUGAUGAGGAGGCCGCCUCUCACCGGGGGACUCGUCUUUGUUCAGGCAGAGGGUCUGGAUGCUUCCAGCCCAUGUUCUAGUUUCCCGAAUUCUUCCCAACAACUCCGGGGUGGCAAUCCCAGUAUGGGACGAGGCAGAGGUGGGGAAGGGGGGGUGAUGGGUGCUGGGCAGGGACCACCCCGUGUCUGAAUCUUCAGCCUGCAGAAUCGGCAGGUGUGCAGGAGACACCACCUGGGUGCCCGGGACUAGGUACGGGAAUUUCCCUGUCCUGGGGCAGCGACCACCAGGUGGCAGUGUGGGGACAUCCCGCCUGGGCCUGGCGGCAGCGGCCCAGAUGGGCCAGAACAGACUGGGCGGGGCAAGGACUGGGGCAGGUGGUGCGAAGGCGAUGGCCGGCCUCCCGCACGAGGCCUGGGCAGCAGGGGUCUAGGGUAAGACAUGCUGAAGCACCUGCAUUUCCAGGCCUGGCACCGGCACACCUGCACACACCUGAGCAUGCCUGCCACUCUGCCCACGAGCAGCCUCACCCUCCACACUGAUGUGGCCUCCACUAAUGUGUGUGACCUUGAACAAAUCACCUAACCUCUUGGUGCCUCAGUUUCCUCGUCUAUAAAAUAGAGUAAUAACAGCAUCUCCCUCCUGGAGCUGCCCCAGGAUGAAAUGACAUCACGUGUGUGGGACACAGGACGAUGCACAUACAGGUGAUGUGAGGGCUGCUCCCGGCAGUGGUCCAGGUACAGCACCUGCGCCUGCCACGGGCCUGGCGCAGCAGGUACCCACCAAAGCAAUCCAUGUCUGAGAUUUGUAACUCGUCUCUUCCUGCACUGGAGGCGGUGUGAAAUUAAUACACGGAAACCUCAUUUAAAAUGGAGCCAGGAGGCCACAAGGGGGAGCCCGAGGGUGCAGGACCGCUGGAUGCCAGUUACAGACCAGGACGGGAAGAGUCCUCAGUUAGGGGCGGGUGGGGACGGCUGCACCUUGCAAGCUGAUACAAUGUUACUACUCCAGCAAGGGAGGUUUACUUCCUUGCCAGCAACUAUUCCCAAGAAACAUCUCCCUGAACUCUGCUUCCUACAGAGGACUUUAGUUCAGAACAGCUCCUCCCAACUUCCUCCUGCAAAGUAACAUUCCUUUUCAAGUGCUCCAUUUGCCUAGAGCUUUGCUAUAGCUUAUUGUCAGGAAUCGCAGUUUCUCUUUCUGAAUAAACCCACUUUGCUGGUAAGAUACCUGGAGGUUUUAC